UACGGAGGAUGCGAGCGUUAUCCGGAUUUCUUGGGUUUACAGGGUGCGCAGGCGGCGAGUUAAGUCAGCGGUAAAAUUUCGGGGCUCAACCCCGACAAGCCGUUGAAACUGGCUUGCUAGAGUGGGCGAGAAGUAUGCGGAAUGCGUGGUGUAGCGGUGAAAUGCAUAGAUAUCGCGCAGAACUCCGAUUGCGAAGGCAGCGUACCGGCGCCAGACUGACGCUGAGGCACGAAAGCGUGGGGAUCGAACAGG
rnacentral:rRNA from 1 species